GACGAACGCUGGCGGCGUGCUUAACACAUGCAAGUCGAACGGAAAGGCCCUGCUUUUGUGGGAUGCUCGAGUGGCGAACGGGUGAGUAACACGUGAGUAACCUGCCCUUGACUUUGGGAUAACUUCAGGAAACUGGGGCUAAUACCGGAUAGGAGCUCCUGCUGCAUGGUGGGGGUUGGAAAGUUUCGGCGGUUGGGGAUGGACUCGCGGCUUAUCAGCUUGUUGGUGGGGUAGUGGCUUACCAAGGCUUUGACGGGUAGCCGGCCUGAGAGGGUGACCGGCCACAUUGGGACUGAGAUACGGCCCAGACUCCUACGGGAGGCAGCAGUGGGGAAUAUUGCACAAUGGGCGGAAGCCUGAUGCAGCAACGCCGCGUACGGGAUGACGGCCUUCGGGUUGUAAACCGCUUUCGCCUGUGACGAAGCGUGAGUGACGGUAAUGGGUAAAGAAGCACCGGCUAACUACGUG
rnacentral:rRNA from 1 species